rnacentral:rRNA from 1 species
UACAGAGGUCCCAAGCGUUUGUUCGGAUUCAUUGGGCGUAAAGGGUGCGUAGGCGGCGCGGUAAGUCGGGUGUGAAAUCUCGGAGCUUAACUCCGAAACUGCAUUCGAUACUGCCGUGCUUGAGGACUGGAGAGGAGACUGGAAUUUACGGUGUAGCGGUGAAAUGCGCAGAUAUCAGGAAGAACACCCGUGGCUAAGGCGGCUCUCUAGUACGGUACUGACGCUGAGACGCGAAAGCGUGGGGAGCGAACAGG